rnacentral:rRNA from 1 species
CACGUAGGGUGCGAGCGUUGUCCGGAAUUAUUGGGCGUAAAGAGCUCGUAGGCGGUGUGUCGCGUCGGCCGUGAAAACCUGCAGCUUAACUGUGGGCUUGCGGUCGAUACGGGCAUCACUGGAGUUCGGCAGGGGAGACUGGAAUUCCUGGUGUAGCGGUGAAAUGCGUAGAUAUCGAGAGGAACACCGGUGGCGAAGGCGGCGAUCUGGACGAUGACUGACGCUAAGGCGCGAAAGCGUGGGGAGCAAACAGG